rnacentral:rRNA from 1 species
AGAAUGUUAUCACGGGAGACACACGGCGGGUGCUAACGUCCGUCGUGAAGAGGGAAACAACCCAGACCGCCAGCUAAGGUCCCAAAGUCAUGGUUAAGUGGGAAACGAUGUGGGAAGGCCCAGACAGCCAGGAUGUUGGCUUAGAAGCAGCCAUCAUUUAAAGAAAGCGUAAUAGCUCACUGGUCGAGUCGGCCUGCGCGGAAGAUGUAACGGGGCUAAACCAUGCACCGAAGCUGCGGCAGCGACACUAUGUGUUGUUGGGUAGGGGAGCGUUCUGUAAGCCUGUGAAGGUGGCCUGUGAGGGUUGCUGGAGGUAUCAGAAGUGCGAAUGCUGACAUAAGUAACGAUAAAGCGGGUGAAAAGCCCGCUCGCCGGAAGACCAAGGGUUCCUGUCCAACGUUAAUCGGGGCAGGGUGAGUCGACCCCUAAGGCGAGGCCGAAAGGCGUAGUCGAUGGGAAACAGGUUAAUAUUCCUGUACUUGGUGUUACUGCGAAGGGGGGACGGAGAAGGCUAUGUUGGCCGGGCGACGGUUGUCCCGGUUUAAGCGUGUAGGCUGGUUUUCCAGGCAAAUCCGGAAAACCAAGGCUGAGGCGUGAUGACGAGGCACUACGGUGCUGAAGCGACAAAUGCCCUGCUUCCAGGAAAAGCCUCUAAGCAUCAGGUAACAUCAAAUCGUACCCCAAACCGACACAGGUGGUCAGGUAGAGAAUACCAAGGCGCUUGAGAGAACUCGGGUGAAGGAACUAGGCAAAAUGGUGCCGUAACUUCGGGAGAAGGCACGCUGAUAUGUAGGUGAAGCGACUUGCUCGUGGAGCUGAAAUCAGUCGAAGAUACCAGCUGGCUGCAACUGUUUAUUAAAAACACAGCACUGUGCAAACACGAAAGUGGACGUAUACGGUGUGACGCCUGCCCGGUGCCGGAAG